CUGCGGAAGGAUCAUUACCUAGAGUUGCGGGCUUUGCCUGCCAUCUCUUACCCAUGUCUUUUGAGUACCUUCGUUUCCUCGGCGGGUUCGCCCGCCGAUUGGACAAAACUUAAACCCUUUGUAAUUGAAAUCAGCGUCUGAAAAAAACAUAAUAGUUACAACUUUCAACAACGGAUCUCUUGGUUCUGGCAUCGAUGAAGAACGCAGCGAAAUGCGAUAAGUAGUGUGAAUUGCAGAAUUCAGUGAAUCAUCGAAUCUUUGAACGCACAUUGCGCCCCUUGGUAUUCCAUGGGGCAUGCCUGUUCGAGCGUCAUUUGUACCUUCAAGCUCUGCUUGGUGUUGGGUGUUUGUCUCGCCUCUGCGCGCAGACUCGCCUCAAAACGAUUGGCAGCCGGCGUAUUGAUUUCGGAGCGCAGUACAUCUCGCGCUUUGCACUCACAACGACGACGUCCAAAAAGUACAUUUUUACACUCUUGACCUCGGAUCAGGUAGGGAUACCCGCU
rnacentral:rRNA from 1 species